UUCACCACCAGCAACUUCAGAACCCAGUACUGGAAUGCCAUCAGCCAGCAGGCCCCUGCCAUCAUCUAUGACUUCUAUCUGUGGCUCACUGGAAGGAAACCCAGGUGGUUAGAUAACGCUGUUAUUGACGAGAUCACACCCAAGCUGAUCAGAGAUCUGCCCAAUUCUUGCACCUACCGCAAGGCCU
ensembl:lncRNA novel transcript